GAUGAACGCUGGCGGCGUGCCUAAUACAUGCAAGUCGAGCGAACGGACGAGAAGCUUGCUUCUCUGAUGUUAGCGGCGGACGGGUGAGUAACACGUGGAUAACCUACCUAUAAGUCUGGGAUAACUUCGGGAAACCGGAGCUAAUACCGGAUAAUAUUUUGAACCGCAUGGUUCAAAAGUAAAAGACGGUCUUGCUGUCACUUAUAGAUGGAUCCGCGCUGCAUUAGCUAGUUGGUAAGGUAACGGCUUACCAAGGCAACGAUGCAUAGCCGACCUGAGAGGGUGAUCGGCCACACUGGAACUGAGACACGGUCCAGACUCCUACGGGAGGCAGCAGUAGGGAAUCUUCCGCAAAGGGCGAAAGCCUGACGGAGCAACGCCGCGUGAGUGAUGAAGGUCUUCGGAUCGUAAAACUCUGUUAUUAGGGAAGAACAUAUGUGUAAGUAACUGUGCACAUCUUGACGGUACCUAAUCAGAAAGCCACGGCUAACUACGUG
rnacentral:rRNA from 1 species